UUUGGGUAUAAUUUUCACUUCUUUUUAGAACUAUGGAGUGGUAGGUAUUAUUUUCAUGUUUUCAGUAAGAAAUUUUCACAAAGAUUGUAGCUAGUUUCUAGGCAAAUUUACGAGAAGGAACAGAAAUUUUCUCUCUUAGUAGAAAUUUUCAGGAACUGUAUUUGUUUUCGUGUACAUCUUUAAAUUUUUGUCUUCAAUUAACAUGGCAAAUGUGGCUGGGAAUCUCUCUACAUCGCCGGAUUUUUUAUUUAUUUAUUUUCUUUUUUACUUUAAAUGGUAUCACAAGUAGUUCAUGAGUGGAUUUCUUCUCCUUACAUCCACUCUUUAUAAGAAUGUACUUUCAAAACUUCAAAUGUAAAGAAAAUAAAAGGUUAAUUAAAGGCACUAUCUACUCUGUUUUUUGCACAUCUUUCAUGUGUUACAUUUACUUUUCUUUCAAAAAGCAUAUAUAGUAUUUACAUUUCAUUUUCCCAAAUCCUAACUACAAGAUAUAUGCUCAACAAGAUUAUUUUUACUAUCUUUGAUUCGUCAAACUUGAAGCUGGAUGAAUGAUAAAAAUUUUCUAAUGUCUCUCUUCUUUACUCAUAUUCACUAUUUUGGCACUUGAUUAAUUUGUUUUAUUGGAUUAGGAUUGUUCUAUGGGUGACCAAAAUAGGGGAUUAUGUCAUUCUUGUAGGAUUGUGGGACACAUGUUGCCGGAAUGUCCCAAAAAGAUUAAAUGCCCAAAUUGUGGCGAGGGCUUCGUUAGGUGGUUGGAGGUAGAAAAGAAUUCGGAUAAUAAAGGGCUAUUGUUCCAUAGUUGUACCUGCAACUGUCGGCUUUUCAAGUUUUCUAACGUUCCGCUGUAUAAAGAGUAUUUCUUGCAAGGUGAAUCAAGUUGGCACUACCAACAGAAGUGAACCGGUCAACGAUUUGUCCCGUAUGUUGACGACGUGUGCAAAAAUAACCGAGGAGAGAAACUUGGAGGUUUCAUUCAACGUCACCAUACGCAAAGGGAAACGAGUUUCGAAAGAUGUAGAAUGAAAUCUAUGUAAUUGAAUAGCUUCGACUUAUUGUACUUAAAAUUGCAGCGAUGACUGUCUUUGGAGCA
rnacentral:lncRNA from 1 species